GCGUCUAUAGCUCAGCUGGAUAGAGCAACGGUUUCCUAAACCGUGUGUCGGCAGUUCGAAUCUGCCUAGGCGCACCA
rnacentral:tRNA from 1 species